rnacentral:lncRNA from 1 species
GGGGUGAGGCUCUGAGAGCUCUUCAAGAUUUCAGUCAAAAGGUGAUUUUCUAUUUAUGAGGGCACUGAGUUAAAGCAGUUCAGUCCCAGGGCAGUAAUGUCAAAAAGCAUUUGGAUGACAACCAAGUGGAAUAAAUAUCUUGUAAAAUGGCAUGUUUAAUAGUAAAAAUAGAUUCAUGGAGCCAUCAAGGGCUUGAAUGGGACUAACCGAAAGGGUUCCGUUUCAAAGGAAAGUUACAUAAGGCUGUAUACAUGUCUUCUUUUAAGGCCAAAGGAGGGACAUCUACAAGUACGAUUGAAAUGUGUCACUGCCAAUGACUGGACCCAUGAUCUGUGGGAAGAGUGUUGCCUUUGAAAGGUCUGCUCCAUGUUGUUCUCGUGUGCAUGUGUACCUUCUUGCCAGGUGUGUUAACUAAGGAUCCACUUGAAGUUAACAGCCUUUAAGGGGAACAUUCAGAGGCCAAGGGUUUUGCGUAAAUUGGAUAUACUAACGGAUCCCCGUUUAAAGGGAAAACUCAAAAUGACACAAAGAUUUCUUGGCAUUCAAGAUAAGUCAUCUCCCAGUGUAAAUACUGUAUAUCUCAACAGCCAAGAGGCAUCCCCACCUUAACAUCAGGACCACGUGACUCAGUGGGAUGCCGUGCAUUAGACAAAAAGACUAAUGACAGUGUUGGGUAACUGUUGCUAACACCUACUAUUUUAGUACGCCAGGCGCAAUGCUGUAUAUUUUACAUGUUUUGUCAUUUAAUUCUCAUCAUAACCCUAUGAGAUAAAUACUAUUAUUAUUCCAAGUUUACAGUUGAAGAAACCAAAGCUCGGAGAGGUGAAAAAACUUGCCCAAAGCUGCACAGCAAAAAUCAAACUCCGUGGUUGAAGUCAAACCUUACGUCAUACCCUUGAACACGCCAGUAUAUCAGCUCCCCAGAUAGGGGACGUCAUAGUUAGCAACAUAGAGGGCCAGGUGCAGGCAGAAAAGAAGGAACAGUGCUCACUGUCUAGUAGUCUGACUCAUAGGAAUUUUCCUGGGUUUCAUUCUUUAAUUCAUUUAUUUAGCAUUCAUGUGCUGAUUUAUUUGUUCAUUUUGCAACUAUAAUACUCAUCAUGCUAAGAAAAGCCUACAGUCAUUAAGCACUUUUAUAUGCCAGGGACCAUUCCAAGUGCUUAGGAUUAAACUGUUUUCGUGGCGUUCCCAUCGUGGCUCAUGAGUUAAGGACCCGACGUUGUCCCUUUGAGAAUGUGGGUUCGAUCCCUGGCCUCACUCCAUGGGUUAGGAUCCAGUGUUGACGCAAACUGCAGUGUAGGUCACAAAUGCAGCUUGGAUCCAGUGUUGCCCUGGCUGUGGAGACAGAGCAUCAAUCUGACCUCAAGGCAAAGCCGUGCCCCCAGCGCUUUGGAGAUGUUAGCGGGACUGAGACCCUUACCCUUACUCUAGGAAGUUGAGCGGCCAGCCGGCCAAAUCAAGCAGGAUUAAAUAGGUGCUUGAAUUGAGAAAAGUACCUACUGUGGAAGUACAAUGAAGGACAUAGGUCUUAUGCUAUAAGAGACCCAUGGAGGAUUUCUUAGAGGGGGUAUCCUGGGAACUGACCCGUGACUGAGGGGGAACAAUGUCUGGAGUUGUGUCAUAUCAUUGCACUCAGCUGUUAACAACAGAAAUCCUGCCCACUGGUGACUUAACCAGAUAAGGGAUUAUUUGUGUCAGACAACUGGAAAGUAGGCGGGAUGAUGCCUCGGUGGUACCAAUGGGGACACAGACUCUGUCGUUUUACUCUGUCACCCUUAAAGGAUAGGCCUUUGGCUCCAGGUCUAUCCUCUCAUGGUGGGAAGGUGGCUGCUGCAUCUCCAGCCCUCACAUCUGCUUUCCAGAGAAGGGGAAAUAGGAUGAGUGAGGCACAAAGAGCAUUUACCUAGUGUGGCUUUACUGUUACUUUUGGAAAGGGAUAACCUUCUCGGGAACUUCUGUGCUUCACUUGACCAGAACUGUGCCACGUAGCCACCCAAACCUACCAGGAAGGGGCAAUCAUGUGUUUUUAGUUAGGCACAUUGCUGCCAUGAACAAAUUGGGAUUCACCUAGUAAGGUAGGAGGGGUGAUUGGAAAAACAGGUUGUUGAGUUGGCUGCUAAAGUGUGUGGCCUAAGAGGAGAAGAGGAAGCUACUCCUCAUGAAGUUAAAACUGCGUCCUGGGAGCCAUGUGUAUCCUGAGGAGGUGGAGACGAGGGUUCGGAGAAGGUUUUGCAAGGAGAUGAUGCCAAACUUGAGGGUGGAUGUGAAGGAGGUUGGCUUCUAUCUCUAGGUACUGGGGAGCCAUGGCAGGCUUCCGAGGAGGGACUGUCAAGUGUUCAGGACCAUAAGACUGACAGCAGUGUGCCUUAUGGAGACAAAUCAGCUUGGUGCUUAUUUGAACUAAAAUGAGUUCUGGCAAGUUGCAGACCAGGGGACGAGUCUUGCCUCAGGGCAAAAAGAAGACAGCACACUAAGAAAGGGAGGGAUGCUGGGGAGAUUUUCUUUUAGGUCCUGCCAAUAGGAAUCCAGAAUUAACCUGAUGCUAGUCAGCUGUUACCAAGGAAUAACUAGCUCUUCUUUUGCUAUAACUCAGUGAGUUAGAACCCUGAGAGGGUUCCCCAAACAGUACGCUUGCCUUUCUCCUGACCCCCAUCUUCUCAGGGUCCCACUGCACCUCCACACAGGGUAACUUCGGUCAUGACCGUUCACCUUUGCUUUUAGUGGUGGGGGUGCCAUCAGGAGCCUCCGAGGGCCCCCCUGCUGCCUGGUCGGGUUCCACAUCCCGGAUUCCUCCAGCAAGGACAGACACCCCUUGAUUCUCUGCGCAGUUAAUGGCUUUAUGACUUUGGGCUGUUACAUACCUCUCUCAGCCUCAGUUUCCUCAUCUCUAAAAUGGCACUUAUUCCAAUAGCUGCCCUCUGGGUUGUUGUGAAGCUUAAGAAGAAAUUUAUUAAAAGCUUAACACAACCCCUAACAUUUGGAGUGUAGGCAGUAAACAUUACCUGUUACCACCAUCGUCACCUCCGCCACCAUCAUCACUGCCACCAACUCUAGGGUAUGGCUUUACUGUAUCCCUGAGGUGCCAUGUGAUGAAAAGGCAUGGAUUUUUAUCAUAGAUUUCAUGACCCCGUCGGUCCCCAUCUCAUUGCAGUUCUCCUUCCUCCUCCCCCAAACACACAGCCACACACACACACACACACACACACACACUCUCUCUCUCUCUCUCUCUCUCUCUCUCUCUCUCUCUCUCAUUUGUGGAAGCUUAAGUAAGCACUGACAUGGAAGGCUCUUCCCAAUGGGACCCUAGUGCAGUGUUCAGGUGCUGUAAUGUGCUGUGUCAUGGUCAAGUCCAGAUAGCGCAGUUCUGAAAGGACGCUUAGCUGCUCACGUGUCCCUUUAGUCGACAGCAAAGCAGACAUUGUUUUUUUAGUAUUGACACGGUAGUUUGGUUUAUAACUGAAAAAAGAAAACUGUCCUCCUGAUUCCUCUCCCCUCCCCUUCUCUAAGGCCCCCUCCCUACAUCGAGCAGGUUGUGAUUUUAAGAACAUCCACCCACAAUCUGUUUCCUGUUCCUAUGCUUGAAGUCAGGCAUUGAAGAGGGGUUGAUUGGUAAUUUUGUGUGUGUGUGUGUGUGUUGCACACGUGCACAUGUAACAGACCCUCAAGGAGAAAAAGUCUUAACAACGGUCCAUCUCUUUCCACCGAAACUGUAAAAUGGAAUUAAAAGAGACCAGAGGCAAAAAUCACUUUUCUUGUUGACACCUCUCUUUACCCCCUGGUGAACAAUUCACCUAUGAAAAGUCACAAUUCUGGGAGUUCCCACUGAGGCUCAGCGGUAACAAAUCCAACUAGGAUCCAUGAGGACACAGGUUCAAUCCCUGGCCUCGCUCAGUGAGUUAAGGAUCCCCCUUUGUUGUGGCCAGCAGCUGCAGCUCCAAUUUGACCACUGGCCUGGGAACUUCCAUAUGCCACGGGUACAGCUCUCAAAAAGACAAAAAAAAAGUCACAAUUCUGGAGUUCCUGUUGUGACUCAAGCGGGUUAAGGACACGACGCUGUCUCUUUGAGAAUACAGGUUCGAUCCCUGGCCUCAUUCGGUGGGUUAAGUAUCCGUCGUUGCCCCAAGCUGCAGCAUAGGCUGCAGAUGAGGCUCCAAUCCAGUGCUGCCAUGCCUGUAGAGUGGGUCUUAGCUGCAGCCGCAAUUCAACCCCUAGCCCAGGAAUUUCCAUAUGCUGCAGGUGUGGCUGUAAAAAAAAAAAAAAAAAAAGCCACAGUUCCCCAUUUCUCACUUUCUUCCUCUUUCUACCCUGCUCUGGUUCCUUAGUACUAGAAACACUUAGUGGAGAUUAAAUCUUAUUACACAGCAUUUCACUGCAACAGUUUUUGCCACAUCAAAUCUGCGGUGAAUGAAAUGCUUGUGCCGUUGAUUCAUGCAGGAUCGAUAUUAAGGAGUGUGCCCCAGACAUUCACUCAUUUCGGUGUAAGAGGUUGAGAGUGUAUUUCCAGGGUGCACAGACUUGGUUUGGGAUGAACAAGUGGGCAUCACAGGCUGGAUGUACUUUCCUGGGUUUAAAACCACACUGGGUUCACCUUGCAGCGGGAAACGUGCAAAAUCCAGGGGACUGUUCAAAGUCAUGCUCAUUGCAAGGAGUGGAUACUGUCGUCCCUGGGGCCAUGGAGGGUGGUCAGACUGAAUUAGCUCUUUGGGCCCGAAUCCUCCCUGUUGGGGGGCCCAGAACAGGCUCUGUGAGGAAGAGAAGGAGCCUGCUGUCAAGAAGCACACAGAAAGAGAUGAAGGAGGUUUUCUGGGCUGGUUCGAUGCCGGCAGCUGCAGCUUCUGGACCCCAAAACAUCUGCAGAAAAACGAGAAAGAACCAGAACCUACACUGAGGAGGCCACGUGCAUGGCUGCAUGGCUAUGCCAUCGUGACCGUUUAGGUCAGCGUUGCAGAAAGAAGAAAAACACUCCUCGGCGGGGCUGGUAUUUGGGCUCCCUACAGCCAUCCCCCCACUCCCCAAAACCAGCCUUCUCCACUCUGCCCGGUGAGAUGGAAUGAAGACCAGGCUCCCUGCACACCCAGACACACCCCAAACACAGUGUCACCAUCUUCGGAGCAGCAGCAGCUUCUGAGCACCUACUAUGUGCCAGGCACUCUGAACACUGUCUCCUCACUGACCCCGAGGAGUGUGUUGAGAGUACUGGGGGAGCCCCGUUUUAAACAUAGGCAACCAGGAGUUCCUGUCGUGGCGCAGCGGAAACAAAUCUGACUAGGAACCAUGAGGUUUCGGGUUCAAUCCCUGGCCUCGCUCAGUGGGUUAAGGAUCUGGUGUUGCCGUGGCUCUGGCGUAGGUCAGCAGCUGGAGCUCUGAUUAGACCCCUGGCCUGGGAACCUCCAUGUGCCUCAGGUGUGACCCUAAAAGGACAAAAGACAAAAAAAAAAAAAAA